AUUUUCUCCCCUCUGCCCGAUGCGCUAGGUUCACCAGCGCGCCUGGGUCUGGAACUAGACACCGCUUUAGUACUUAGAGCGCGCUCGCGGAGCGGAGCUAUUUGUAUAGUAUUGCAUCGCACUGAGAGGGCCCAGACCGACAGACGGAGCGGCCAUGCGGACAGCGAUCGCGGCAAAACUAUGUCUGGGGCUCCUGCUCCUGGCACUCCUGUUACCUGCGCAGAUUUAUUCUGAAAAUGUAACCACUGCACCAAGUCUAAAUAACAACACUUCAGUGAGCACUACUACUCUGCCAGUGACUAAACAGUCACAAAACAACUCUACUACUACUACUACUACUACUACUACUACAGGAAGUGGAAAUUCCCUGCAAUCAACUGCCAGCCUCUUCAUCUUCUCACUCUCCCUUCUACAUCUCUACUGUUAAGAGACUCAGUCAAGCCAAUGGCAAUGCUUCUCUAACCCAUCCUCCUGAACCAUCUGAGAUGGCUGCAUCUACUAGUCAGUGUGACACAGAAGGAAACAAAACCAACAGUCAAUGUCUUGACCCCACCCACUCUACUUCCAUACCUUUAAAUUUACUGUCACAUCAGUUCCAGAGAAGGUCCCAGGCUAAUUUCCCACGUGUUGAAUAAAUAAUUUGAGAAGGAUCUGUGUGAUUUCAUGGGACUGAAUGAUGUUGGACUUUUUAUUUCAGUGUUUAAACCAGUUGGAACUUCUAAGAACAAGACUGAAGAGAGAUGGCAUCCACUUAAUUCAAGAUUAAAAAUUCACUAAUUAUGAACAACCAGAACUCUUACUAUUGGAAUAGAAGGGUAGAUUUUUCUCUUGGUCCAGAAAAGGGAAAAAGGUGUGGAAAAGAGACUUGGUUUUCACUUUGGUUCGUUAGCCAUAAAAUGAUUAGAUGGUAUAAACAGCUUCCAUGUUUCUAUUUAUAUGGAUGGUGAAAGAAGCAUCAUCAAGCUUUGGUAGUAAAUUCUCCAUGUGUGUCAGCAGUACUAAUUUAAUGCCUAUAUACUCUAGAUAAGUUUUAAAACAUUAAGGUAUCACUAUUCUCAGAAGAGAUAAAUUAUUUACUCUGGGGCUUUGGAUUUGACAUAGCAUUUAAAUUGCUAUAUCACAAAUGACACGUGCCACAGCAAUGAUGGAUUGGAACCUUCCCACAAUGAAAGCAAAGUGAGCAAAAUUGGCUUUCGUAAUGUUCUGUAGAAACGUAGACAUUCCCAUUACUUCCUCAUCUAAGAAAAUGUUAGAUUUCAUUAGCUACCUUGCUUUCCUUAAUUCCAAAGACUUUUGAAAUAGACGACCUCUUGAAUAACUUUCAAAUGCUGUUUUAUUUCUGCAUAUGUCAAAUAGCUAACAGUUUUGAAAAUGAUCUAUUGUGAAGGUUGAUCAUUUCAGAAUCUCAAAAUUAAGAGGCAAAUGUGUAAAAGCCAAACAACAAGGUAAAUUGAGUAUUUGGAAUGUAAGGACUGGGAGCUUAAUUGCAUCAUUAUAAGUUCACAAGAUCUUUUAUACUAUUUCUGUAAAUACUUUUUUUUUAAAGAAAAUCUUUGUGAAUCAGAGUAGCUUACAACUGAGACUCGUCAUUAAAUAUUUUUAGAUAUAGAAACUGGUAUUAAGCCUAACAUUGGCCUCAUUCAGGGAAGCAGAUAUUUCUGCUUUCCUGCUUUAAUAAUAAAACAAAAAUAAACAAAAAAACCCCCACCAUUGCUGCAAUGUUGAAACCUUCUAAAGAAAUCCUUUUUUUUUUUUUUUAGGUUCACACGGUCACACACUGUUGCUUAGAUUUGAGAUAUCCAAUAUGAUUAGUAUCCUAACUUCAUAAAAAAAUCAAAGAAAGUUUGCUGUUCUUU